rnacentral:misc_RNA from 1 species
GAUGAAGAACGUAGCGAAAUGCGAUACGUAAUGUGAAUUGCAGAAUUCAGUGAAUCAUCGAGUCUUUGAACGCACAUUGCGCCCCCUGGUAUUCCGGGGGGCAUGCCUGUCCGAGCGUCAUUGCUGCCCUCAAGCAUGGCUUGUGUGUUGGGCCUCCGUCCUCCUCCCGGGGGACGGGCCCGAAAGGCAGCGGCGGCACCGCGUCCGGUCCUCGAGCGUAUGGGGCUUCGUCACCCGCUCUUGUAGGCCCGGCCGGCGCUUGCCGACACAUCAAUCUUUUUUCCAGGUUGACCUCGGAUCAGGUAGGGAUACCCGCUGAACUUAAGCAUAUCAAUAAGCGGAGGA